AAACUACAAGGGGAGCCGAAGCUCCCCCAGAAGUAGUUGCGUGCUCUAUUUUUAUUAUUGAUUGCGGGCUUCUUGUUUUUGUUGAUCGCCCUCGCCAUGAAGCUUCACCUUCAUGACACUCCCAAUCGGGAGUCAAGAGCAAACGGAUUGCUUUGGUCGCUGUGUUGCUGAUCUACGAUCCAACCAGUUCAGGCUCUGCCUUAGGGCAGUU
rnacentral:sRNA from 1 species